AGAAAGGGCGGGGUGGAGGAGGGGGAAGGGCGGGGGUGAUGCCGCGCGGUCGCAGGCUUGGGAUGGUGUUCGCGCCUCCGAGACCCGGACAGAGGCAAGCAGGGGCGCCGUGGGUGCCAGAGAGGCGGAAGAGGAGGCCUGAUGGGGCGCCAGGCAUCCUGUCUCCAGGAAGAAACCCCUGGGCCCCUGACCCUGGUUCUUUGGACCCAGGCAUCCCCCCAAAUAAACCUGGGAACUGCCCAGGCUGAAGAACAGUUCAGAAGUCACCCUACAGGACAAUCCACAGCCCCUUAGGCCAGUCCCUUUCACAGGUCAGCACAGUGUUUCCGGAGCCCCACGUAUCAACAGCCCAGUGCCGGGAGCGCCAGGGGCUCCAAGGAAACUAUCAGACCCAUUCCCUGUCCCCAGGAAGCUUACCAUCCAGCGGCACAGAGAAGGCUCACCAUGGACUCCAUUCAAGAACGAGGCAGGAUAGGAUGUGAAUAAGUGCAAGGUGUGAGUGACUGACAGUAAGUGCAAGGGGGUUCAGAGAAGUGGCAGCUCCAAGCCUGCUUCUGCUGAAGCUGGAGGGCUUAUCUGUCAAGAACCCCCAACUCAGGAAGCUCUGCUCCAAGUGAGCUGAGUAAGGAGAGUCUGCCUCCAAGUUGUUCCUCUGCAGGUGACUGUGCUCCAUGCUAAAUCAUUCCUUGCACGGGCAGAAGCUGUUUGGCAUUGCACCAGUGUCUGAUUUUGUUUGAAUAUGGUGCCUUUGGCUUAAUCAGUCAGACAUGCAUUCAACAACUAUUUAUUUAUUUAUUUAUUUAUUUAUUUAUUUAUUAUUUUGAGACAGAGUCUCGCUCUGUCGCCAGGCGGAGGUUGCAGUGAGCCGAGAUUGAGCCACUGCACUCCAGCCUGGCAACAGAGUGAGACUGUCUCAAAAAGUAAAUAAAUAGAAACUCUUGGUUCCAUGCGUAGUCUAGCAUUUUGUAGCACUUCUAAUCACGAAGUUAUUUUUAAUAUUUGUUUGGUCUGUUAUACAAAAUGUAGACUGGAUGGCUUAUAAACUACAGAAAUCUCUCACAGUUCUGUAGGCUAGAAAGUCUAAGAUGAAGAUGCCAGCAGCCUGCUUCCUGGUUCAUACAAGGUCAUCUUCUCACUGUAACCUCACAGUGAGAGGAAGGGCCUAGGGGUGACUCUGGGAUCUCUUUUAUGAGGCACUAAUCCCAUUAAUGGGGGCCCCCCACCCUCAUGGCCUAAUCACCUCCCAAAGGCCCCACGAUUGCCUUGGGUGUUAGGAUUUCCACAUAUGAAUUUUAGGGGAACACAGACGUUCAGGCCAUAGCAAAUAUCUUGCCCAAAUAUCUCUAGUUCCAUCCUUUUGGUCACUCUCAGACCAGAACAUUUACUGAGUGAUUACUAUGUCCCACAAAAUUCUUAUUUAACCCUCAGAAAAACCGUCUGGGGGAAGCAUUGUUAUCACUCCUAUUUCAUGAGCAGUUAUGUAACUUGCCCCAGAUAAGACUUGGUUAUGGCACAGAUUCUGUGUUGGAGCCUUCAGACCACUCUACUUCCCAAGCAGGGGAGGAACAGAACAUUAAAGAUUUUCUUGGCCUUGGCUUUCAUUUCUUCAUCGUGGUUCUGAAAGGAAAAUUGGCUACAGUCUUAAAUGUAUGUGUGGGCCCACGCUAGAAGCUCAGCUCUCAGUGCCAGCCACACUGAGCCCUGGUCUCCCUAACUUCCGGGCCUUUACUCUGCUUGUCAUUGGGCUGAUAACCAAGAUCCAGCCUAGAGCACAAGAAGACAAACGCUGCGUGAUCUCGUGUGUAGAACCUAACAAAGUGGAACUCACAGAAGCAGAGAGUAGAAUGGUGGUUGCCUGUUGGAAUGGGGAGAUGGUCAGAGAAUGCAAACUUUCAGUUGGAUGGGAGGAAGAAGUUCCAGAGAUCUAUUGUGCCACAUGGUGACAAUAGUUAAUAACAAUGUACUGGGCGGGGGGUGGUGGCCUACGCCUGUAAUCCCAGCACUUUGGGAAGCUGAGGCAGACAGAUCACUUGAGGUCAGGAGUUCUAGACCAGCUUGUCCAACAUGGUGAAACCCCGUCUCUACUAUAAAACUACAAAAUUAGCCAGGUGUGGUGGUGUGCGCCUGUAAUCUCAGCUACUUGGGAGGCUGAAUCGCUUGAACCCAGGAGGUGGAGGUUGCAGUGAGUCGAGACUGCGCCACUGCCCUCCAGCCUGGGUGACACAGUGAGACUCUGUUUCAAAAAAACAAAAAAAGCAAUGUACUGUAUACUUGAAAAUUGCUCACAGAGAUUUUAAAUGUUCUCACCAUUACAAAAUGAUAAAUAUGUGACAUAAUGCAUAUGUUAAUUAGCCCGAUUUAGUGAUUCCACAGUGUAUACAUAUAACAAAACAUGUUGUACACCAUAAAUGUAUACUAUUUUUAUUUGCCAAUUAAAUAUAUUUUUUUAAAGUU
rnacentral:lncRNA from 1 species